rnacentral:tRNA from 1 species
UUUUUAUAGUUUAAACCAUAAAAACAUAUUCCUGAAAAGAAUAAAAUAGAUUUUCUUUAAAAAA